CGACUCUGGUUUCUCUUCAUUACGCACAAGCCUUUCGCCUUUUACUAAAGACUUCCGUGGAGAGGAACACUUACGAGUUCAACGUAUUUUUGGGAAGGGCUUUGCUUCUGGCAGAGCC
rnacentral:snRNA from 1 species